rnacentral:rRNA from 1 species
AUGCAGCAGCUACCGCGACCGGAUUCGGACCGUCCCUGUGUCUGGAGCGCCAAAAAGAUGGACUGGCUUCCCCUUUCCCGGUCCGGCCAUAACAGAUCCAGCUACUCAACCUCGGGUGCAUCUAAUUCCUGCCUGUCCAACAACUCUGCCGGCUCCGGCGGAACUGCUCCGGUGGUGUUCACCUCUUUACGGGACAACGAUGAGCUCACGUGGAUCGCUCGCCAAAUGGUCAGCGACGGGUACACGGGGCAAAUGGUCCAAGCAUUCGAUGAAGCAUCAUCGUCCGAUUCCGCACCAGCACUCAAACACGGUGAUGGUAGCUUGGACCAUGCUCUGAAGAAUUGGUUCUUGGAGCUCGAUGUCGAUUGGGUUCUCCAAAUCCACGACAGGCUUGGCUUACAGCGACUGCUGCAAGAAAAGCCCGAGUCGACACCACAAGACUUGGUCGAGAGGUGGAUCCGAGCUCUUUCCAUAAUUGUCACCAGUAUCACUGAAUUAAAAUUCCCAUUCCACGGAAGGCUGGUUGUCGCCCGGUUUGGCAAAGCAAGCAUCGCCGAGAUGCUCGUCUUCGUGGACGCCAUCCUCCCUCUUCUCAAAGCGGAGAACCUACAUGCCGUGCUUGACAUGUUUACCUGUGUCUUAGGUGCAUCAUACAUGUUUACUUCGGUCGUGAUCUCUCCAGAAGUCCAAAGCAUUUUCAGUGAGAUAGGCGUCUCCUUACAGAGAGAAGUAAACAAGCUAAGCGAGGCCAUAUCAGGCAUGAUGGAGGAGGUGAGAACACUCAUGGAGGACAACGAGCCGUGGGCUAUCAAGAUACUGCGAGGAAGAGGCGAGGUUCACACGAGGACACAGUUCAUGAUGGAUUGCAUAGCGUCGAUGACAAAUGCACGUACUUCCAUGGCAAACUCCACAGGGAACCACAACAUUGAAAACCUUGGUAGCCUGAUCGUGGCACAAUCAACUCUCUGA